rnacentral:tRNA from 1 species
GCCUAGGAAGCGAAUCGCACUAAGUUUCGGCCUUAGCCAUGAAGACUAUUUUCUUCCCUGGGUU